rnacentral:rRNA from 1 species
CAGCCGCCACGGGAAUACGUAGGUGGCAAGCGUUGUCCGGAAUUAUUGGGCGUAAAGCGCGCGCAGGCGGAUCAGUUAGUCUGUCUUAAAAGUUCGGGGCUUAACCCCGUGAUGGGAUGGAGACUGCUGAUCUAGAGUAUCGGAGAGGAAAGUGGAAUUCCUAGUGUAGCGGUGAAAUGCGUAGAUAUUAGGAAGAACACCAGUGGCGAAGGCGACUUUCUGGACGAAAACUGACGCUGAGGCGCGAAAGCCAGGGGAGCGAACGGGAUUAGAGACCCCUGUAGUCCCUGUCUCUUAUACA